UCAGCUUCCAGGCUGGGGACACAGCAGCUACCUCCAGGGGCCACCAGGGGCCAGUGGAGAAGGAGGACCCACCAGCAUCUUCUCCCCUAUCUCAGGCUGUCGCCCUCCGAGACCAGAAGGGAGCUGGGAGGUUUGUCCCCCAGUUUGCAAAAUCCAGGAAGCCGGGGACAGCAGCAGCCAUGGCGCCGAGAAGGCCAGAGGGCGAGUUGGAGGCCCCGGGGGACAGCUGGACACUCAGCCUGGAGAAGCUGUCAGAGCCCAGCACACAGCAGGCGGGGAGCCAGCAGCUGGCUGGGUCUGGACAGGAACCGCAGGGCCUGG